rnacentral:lncRNA from 1 species
UCACCUAAUUGUCAACAAUCAACAAUCAAAGAGCUGAUAGCUCUGAAGUGGAAGAAGGUGAAUAAAAGGUAACUUGAAUUACCAUAAAAGCAGCCCCACUUACCCAGGCUGCUUUGUUCCAUUAUCGUUAAAAUGUAUUUUUUUUCUUCAAACAAGAAAAGGUCAUAAGUACAUGGAUUUCCCAUCCGUACAAUCAUUUUCUAUGUUCAGUCGACUAUGAAAAUUAGGUAAAAUCUUUAAUUUGGCAGUAAUUAAGAAGAUCAUAUCAUUGACAAGAGGAACACAUGUGUACUUAGUUUCAAGUUGAUUGGAUUUCAACUUCAUCAAAAACUACCUCGACCAUACACUUUUUAACCAGAAGCAGGACGGACGGACAGACUAGAAAACAUAUUGCCCAUAAAUGGAGCAUAAAAAUUGUAAGACUUGUUACAUACCUGCCAACUUUUGAAAGUUCCCAUAUGGGUUUUUACUGCACAAC